rnacentral:rRNA from 1 species
GACGAACGCUGGCGGCGUGCUUAACACAUGCAAGUCGAACGGAAAGGCCCUGCUUGUGUGGGGUGCUCGAGUGGCGAACGGGUGAGUAACACGUGAGUAACCUGCCCUUGACUUUGGGAUAACUUCAGGAAACUGGGGCUAAUACCGUAUAGGAGCUCCUGCUGCAUGGUGGGGGGUGGAAAGUUUCGGCUGUUGGGGAUGGACUCGCGGCUGAUCAGUUUGUUGGUGGGGUAGUGGCUUACCAAGGCUUUGACGGGUAGGCGGCCUGAGAGGGUGAACGGCCACAUUGGGACUGAGAUACGGCCCAGUAUCCUACGGGGGGCAGCAGUGGGGAAUAUUGCACAAUGGGACGAAGCCUGAUGCAGCAACGCUGCGUGCGGGAUGACGGCCUUCUGGUUGUAAAAAGCUUUCGCCUGUGACGAAGCGUGAGUGACGGUAAUGAGUAAAGAAGCACCGGCUAACUACGUG